GAGUUUGAUCAUGGCUCAGAUUGAACGCUGGCGGUAGGCUUAACACAUGCAAGUCGAGCGGAAACGAUGAUAGCUUGCUAUCAGGCGUCGAGCGGCGGACGGGUGAGUAACGCGUAGGAAUCUGCCUAGUAGUGGGGGACAACCUGUGGAAACGCAGGCUAAUACCGCAUAAUCCCUGAGGGGGAAAGGAGGGGAUCUUCGGACCUUUCGCUAUUAGAUGAGCCUGCGUGAGAUUAGCUAGUUGGUGAGGUAAAGGCUCACCAAGGCGACGAUCUCUAGCUGGUCUGAGAGGAUGAUCAGCCACACUGGGACUGAGACACGGCCCAGACUCCUACGGGAGGCAGCAGUGGGGAAUAUUGGACAAUGGGCGCAAGCCUGAUCCAGCCAUACCGCGUGUGUGAAGAAGGCCUUAGGGUUGUAAAGCACUUUCAGAAGGGAGGAAAGGUUGAUGUUUAAUACGCAUUAGCUGUGACGUUACCUUCAGAAGAAGCACCGGCUAACUCUGUGCCAGCAGCCGCGGUAAUACAGAGGGUGCAAGCGUUAAUCGGAAUUACUGGGCGUAAAGCGCGCGUAUGUGGUUUGCUAAGUCGGAUGUGAAAGCCCAAGGCUCAACCUUG
rnacentral:rRNA from 1 species